rnacentral:siRNA from 1 species
AUCUCCUACUCUAUUGUUGUGCA